GAUUUCUGGCUUGAAACAUCUGGCCGGCCACGGUUUCGUGUGUUAGUGCUUGAUGUUCUGGCCAUCCUUCCAAUCGCUAUUGGCUAUUCUUCAUUGAAUGGUCAGUAGUAUUGGAUCUUUUACUUUGAAAAAAUUAGAGUGUUUAAAGCAGGCUUUUGCUAUGAAUACAUUAGCAUGGAAUAAUAAUUUAGGACUUCGGUUCUAUUUUGUUGGUUUCUAGAACUGAAGUAAUGAUUGAUAGGGAUAGUUGGGGGUGCUAGUAUUCAGUGGCCAGAGGUGAAAUUCUCGGAUUCACUGAAGACUAACUUAUGCGAAAGCAUU
rnacentral:rRNA from 1 species